GAUUCUAUAGCUCAAUUGGCAGAGCAGCGGACUGUUAAUCCGCAGGUUACAGGUUCAACUCCUGUUAGAAUCG
rnacentral:tRNA from 1 species